rnacentral:rRNA from 1 species
GACGAACGCUGGCGGCGUGCUUAACACAUGCAAGUCGAACGAUGAAAAAGAGAGCUUGCUCUUUUUGGAUUAGUGGCGAACGGGUGAGUAACACGUGAGUAAUCUGCCCCGGACUCUGGGAUAAGCGUUGGAAACGACGUCUAAUACCGGAUAUGAAGCGUGGAGGCAUCUUCUGCGUUUGGAAAGAUUUUUUGGUUUGGGAUGAGCUCGCGGCCUAUCAGCUUGUUGGUGAGGUAAUGGCUUACCAAGGCGACGACGGGUAGCCGGCCUGAGAGGGUGACCGGCCACACUGGGACUGAGACACGGCCCAGACUCCUACGGGAGGCAGCAGUGGGGAAUAUUGCGCAAUGGGCGGAAGCCUGACGCAGCGACGCCGCGUGGGGGAUGACGGCCUUCGGGUUGUAAACCUCUUUCGGCCCCGACGAAGCGUGAGUGACGGUAGGGGUAGAAGAAGCACCGGCCAACUACGUGCCAGCCGCCGCCGUAAAAC